CCUACGGGGGGCAGCAGUGGGGAAUAUUGGGCAAUGGGCGCAAGCCUGACCCAGCAACGCCGCGUGAAGGAAGAAGGCUCUCGGGUUGUAAACUUCUUUUAUCAGGGACGAAGCAAGUGACGGUACCUGAUGAAUAAGCCACUGCCAACUACGCGCCAGCAGCCGCGGUAAUACGUAGGUGGCAAGCGUUCUCAGGUUGUACGGGGUGUAAAGGGCGUGUAGGUGGGAAAGCAAGUUAGAUGUGAAAACCAUGGGCUCAACCUGUGGCCUGCAAUUAAAACUGUUUUUCUUGAGUAAUGAAGAGGCAAACGGAAUUCCUAGUGUAGAGGUGAAAUGCGUAGAUAUUAGGAGGAACACCAGUGGCGAAGGCGGUCAGCUGGACAGCAACUGACGCUGAGGCGCGAAAGCGUGGGGAGCAAACAGGAUUAGAUACCCCAGUAGUC
rnacentral:rRNA from 1 species